AUGGACACGGGGCCCAACCGAGCCCCGCUCCUUCAUCCCUGGGGGCCCAUGGAUGCUCGCCCAGGAGCGGGUGGGACACACGGGCCCCUGGGACUCCCUGCCUGGCUCCUCCUGCUUCUGCCCUGCUGGGCCCUGGCUCUUCUCUGUGCAGGUGCCAUGGCCCUGCAGCUCCCCACCAUCACCAUCCUGCGGAUGCCAGCAGAGGCCCCCCGUCCAGGCGAGAGCGUGACGGUGUCAUGCGAGGCGACAAGUGGGCUCCCAGAGCUGACGCUGCUCUACUGGCUGGGGAACAGCUCCUUUGUGGAGAGCCUGUACCCAGACGGGGCUGUGCACGAGGGGACAGUGCAUGGCUGCUUCUGCUUACUGUGACCUGUAGAUGUGUCCAUGUGGGAGGAAGAAACCCCAAGGUGUCUGUGGCCAUGGAUAUGUCUGUGCUGCAGCAGGAGCAUCUCUGAAGGGAACGUGGCCCAAGGACAAGACCCUGCUGGAGAAGGUACAUCUUGAAACAUCCGUGGCUGUGCAGGAAGUCAUGCUGGAGCACCCUGAAGUGUGUGACCAUGGAUAAACCCACAGCAGAGCAGGUACACCCCUGGAAGGACUGCAGCCAUGGAGAAGGCCACACUGGAGCAGAAGAACCUGAGGCUCCCACGGAAUCGCUCUGGUUAGACGGCAGCUCGGGAGAUCUUCAGUCCAGCCCCCUGCUGCAAGCAGGACCACCUCUGGGAUCAGAGGAGGCAGCUCAGCAUUUUCUACAGCUGGGUCCUAAAAUCUCUCAAGGAUGGAGCCUGCACACCUUCAUUAGGCAGUCUGCUCCACUGCCUGCCUGAUAUCACGGGGCAACUUUUUUCCACGUAUUAACCUCAUCUUCCCUUGUCCAGGCUGUGUGCCCGGUUCCCCCACACUUUUCUCACAGUCACAUGUACCCCUGCCCAUUUUGGUGGCUCUCCACCGGACCAUUUCAGUUGAUCUGUAUUUUCCCAGGGAAGGGCCUGUCAUCCAGCACAUGCUGGAUAUGUGGACACCCGCAGUUUCCCCAAAUUGGGGAGCUUGACUUCAUCUUUUGUGAUGAUAGCAAACUGCUCACGUGUCCAGAAAUUCAAGCACGCAGCAGUAACCGGGGUUUGUUGGGAAGAAACCAUGAGAUUAAUAAAUCCUUGGGCUUUCUAACAGAGCAAAUUAAAAUCUCAGUUACUUUUGCCACUGUAGUGUUCUGAAUCAUCAUGGCUAGGCUUCGCGAAUGAAAAUUUGGGAGAGGC